GAUGAACGCUGGCGGCGUGCCUAAUACAUGCAAGUCGAGCGAAUGAUGAGGAGCUUGCUCCUCUGAUUUAGCGGCGGACGGGUGAGUAACACGUGGGUAACCUGCCUGUAAGAUGGGGAUAACUCCGGGAAACCGGGGCUAAUACCGAAUAAUAAAAGAGGAAGCAUUUCUUCUUUUUGAAAGUUGGUUUCGGCUAACACUUACAGAUGGGCCCGCGGCGCAUUAGCUAGUUGGUGAGGUAACGGCUCACCAAGGCGACGAUGCGUAGCCGACCGGAGAGGGUGAUCGGCCGCACUGGGACUGAGACACGGCCCAGACUCCUACGGGAGGCAGCAGUAGGGAAUCUUCGGCAAUGGGCGAAAGCCUGACCGAGCAACGCCGCGUGGGCGAGGAAGGCCUUCGGGUCGUAAAGCUCUGUUGUCAAGGAAGAACAAGUACGAGAGUAACUGCUCGUACCUUGACGGUACCUGACCAGAAAGCCACGGCUAACUACGUGCCAGCCGCCGCCGUAA
rnacentral:rRNA from 1 species